GAAUACUGUGUCAGAGUUCAGUGUUGGAAUAAGUAAUUGGCGAUGGCCGGGGCUCGUUUGGCACUGGAGAAUAAAAUGACCAUGCUGCUGACGCAAGAAUGACCUCGUCCCUGUCACCUCAGCCUUUCGUUUAUGAGUUUCCAGGGCAACGGCCAGACUGGCAGAGAAAGGAGGCUGCUGGUAUCUGGAGAACAAGUUGAUUUAUGCAUUUGAUUGCUAAAACACUUCUCUACUAAGAAUUCAUCCUUUGGAAGCUGAUGACCCUCUUACCUCCACCGGCCGAGUUCUGGAAUCACCGCUGUACAGUUUGGUCUAGCCUAAGGAGCAAGGCAUCAUCGAGCUCUGAAGGAGGUCGGGGUUCCCUUCACAAAUCUAUUGUUUCACACUACCUAGAAAAGAUACAGAAUGUAAAGACACACAGAAGAUAAAUCAGCAAAGCUAUGAUCCACCAUUAUUAAAACAAAAACAUAUCCUUUUUUAAUAGAAAGAAGAUUUUUAUUGAGGUACAGUAUUUCAGAGGACCUCAGGACUCCUUUGGAUGGCCAGAGCAUGUCCAUGGCUCUCAGGAUGGACAUCACUUUUCUUCUGGAUUCCUCCAUGGAUUCUUGUCUGUCUUCUUGCUUUUUCUACUUCUCCCUGAUGGCUGGGAAUGUCCCAGAGAACAACUUUAUGGAUUUCACUUCCUUGUCUGUACCUAUUUCCUUAGUUGUACCAUCCAGGAUUGUGGUUUUAAUACGAAUGCUGACAGCUCAAGGGAGAACUGUUUCCAUGUUCCGAGCCAUGCCGUCAAGACCCAACUGUAUGGGAACUGCCGCAGCAAGUUGAGCGUAAACUGGUGCAGAAGAGAAUGUGCGGUUAAUCGGGUUGUUUUGCUGUUCAAAGCCAUGGGAUACAUUCCUCUGAGUCCUGUGUAGCAUUUUCACAGUGUCAAUGCCCAGCUCGACAGUGGGGUUCCAAACGCCUCUCUGAGUUCCAGACAUGUAAUUCCAUAGCCUGUGAAAUGAUAGUAGAUGUGUUCAAAAUUUCUCCUCUUACUCAUCUCAGAUGAUGUCAACUUGUCACUGUCCAGACCAACAUGCAGGAAGUAUUUGUCUCACUUAGUCCAACCCACGGAGAAUCCUGUUAGCCAAACUUUCAACGCAAACCCAGAAUCUGACCACCUGCAGGAGCACUUGAAAGUCUACCAUCCUUCUCUCAAAUUAUUCAGGUAGUCUUCCAACUGAUCUUCCAUUUUCCACCCUUAUCUAACCUAGUUCUAUUUUGCAUAGAUGAGGCCUCCUAACCUUGUCCAAAUGUCAUGCCAACCACACCACCCCUCUGCUCGACACCCUGCAUGGUGCCUGGAGUCACUUGGGGCAGAACACAGCUUUCCAGCUCCCAGUGAGGUCACACAGCACGGGGGCUGUGGCUGUGACCUCUUAGAGCUCUUCACCCACCGCCCUUCCCUUUCUGUCCCCACUUGAGGCAGCCUGACCCCUUUGACACUUGAUCAAAUGCAGGAGCACACUCCAAUGUCCAGCCCUCCGUGUGAGCUUUCCCUUUCUCUGGGAGGCUCAAACAACUGCACGAUAAAUCAGAUAAGCCACUGCCUUGAACAGAUCUGUGGUACCUCAGCUUCUGGGCCUACCUCCAAGGGAACUCUGGCUUACCCAGGGUUUAUUCAUUUUAGAUUUGAAGCAUUUAUGUUGAGCCUCUGCAUAACAGACAUCUGGAAAUGUGAAGGUGGAUUAUUUCAGAUCACCAUGGUCCCUACACGAAUAACAGAAUAAUUUCCACGCAAUGACAUUAUCCUACUAGGUGACAGUCAAAAUGGAUCACUCUAAUUUCUUGUCUUCCUAUAAGAAAAUAAACUCUUCUCUUACCCUAAA